GAUGAACGCUAGCGAUAGGCUUAACACAUGCAAGUCGAGGGGCAGCACAAGGUAGCUUGCUAUCUGGGUGGCGACCGGCGCACGGGUGCGUAACGCGUAUGCAACUUGCCCUAUACAGGAGGAUAACCCGUCGAAAGACGGACUAAUACUGCGUAUGCUCACAACUUGGCAUCAAGUGGUGAGGAAAGAAAUUCGGUAUAGGAUAGGCAUGCGUCCCAUUAGCUUGUUGGUGAGGUAGCGGCUCACCAAGGCAACGAUGGGUAGGGGAACUGAGAGGUUUAUCCCCCACACUGGUACUGAGACACGGACCAGACUCCUACGGGAGGCAGCAGUGAGGAAGAUUGGUCAAUGGGCGCGAGCCUGAACCAGCCAAGUCGCGUGAAGGAUGACUGUCUUAUGGAUUGUAAACUUCUUUUAUACGGGAAUAACAAGAGUCACGUGUGACUCCCUGCAUGUACCGUAUGAAUAAGCAUCGGCUAACUCCGUG
rnacentral:rRNA from 1 species